UGGGGAAUCUUGCACAAUGGGGGAAACCCUGAUGCAGCGACGCCGCGUGAGCGAUGAAGGUUUUCGAAUCGUAAAGCUCUGUCCUAUGGGAAGAUAAUGACGGUACCAUAGAAGAAAGCUCCGGCUAAAUACGUGCCAGCAGCCGCGGUAAUACGUAGGACCCGAGCGUUGUCCGGAUUUAUUGGGCGUAAAGCGAGCGCAGGCGGUUAGAAAAGUCUGAAGUGAAAGGCAGUGGCUCAACCAUUGUAGGCUUUGGUAACUGUUUAACUUGAGUGCAGAAGGGGAGGGUGUAAUUCGAUGUGUAGCGGUGAAAUGCGUAGAUAUAUGGAGGAACACCGGUGACGAAAGCGGCUCUCUGGACUGUAACUGACGCUGAGGCUCGAAAGCGUGGGGAGCGAACAGG
rnacentral:rRNA from 1 species